CUUCAUAAGAAUUAUGAUUACUCUGGUCUCAUCAAGCCACUUCUAAGAAUACAAAUUCUAUGCAUUUACUGCAACCUCAGGACAAGAUUGACCUCGGAAAGGCUUUGGGAACACUUUAGAAAACAUCUCUUCCUCCCACUGAAAGGUUCACAACUAUUGUUUUCCUCUUCUGACUCAUCUUUGAAUCAGUAAAUUAAAUAUGUAUAACUUGUGAAGAUUUCAUUUUUAUUAAGUUUGUAGGAGGACUUUCAGAGAGCUGUUCUCUUUAUCCUUCUCUGUGGCUCUGGCUCUUUUCUGUAUCAUAGAGAAGUUAAAAAGAGUUGAUUAUCAUCUACUCUCCUAGGGUGGUCAAGACUUGAGGAUUCAGAGGCUGUUUCUCAAUUUAAGUCUCUAAGAAUAUGCCCUUCAGCCUUCUUACCUUGACUUCUGGAACUUUAUUGGUGAAAAAAAACUACGGCAUGACUCUGACAAUCCUUUGAAGUCAUGAAUAUACAAGAGCAUGAAUAAGAGAAGAAAAGAUGGAAGAUAAAAAGCAGAAGGGUGCUGGAGAUAUAAUGGUGAAUAAUGUUGCAAUAUGCCCAGUCUUCAUGGAAUCAACAGUCCAGUGGGGAAGGCAGAUAAGUGAUGCAGAGCAUAUCAAUAGCUGGGACCUGAAUUAGCACCAUAUGGAGCAGAGUUCUCUUCCAGCUAACCAAGGGCACUUCAUCACCAAAGCAACAAGAUGUGGAGCAUGAGCAGUUCAACCUUUGAAGAUAACUCAGACUAAUUUGGCCAGCCUCUCCGUCUGAGGGUCUGAGAUCAUAAGAAGGUUUGGGAAAAGAGAAAGUUGUCAUUAAAUUGACAUCAAACAACCAGAAGACAACUUGGGAAAAAGCAGGAAUUUAUGUCCUUCAGCUUUUGCUAAGAUAUUCAUGCCAUGAUAUUUGGCCUAUAUUCCCUUCCAAUUGAGGACCUCUUCUCAUGGAGAAAAAAGUUAAGAACAAGAGAAGAAAACUGCCUUGCUCAAGUACACAUAGGAUAAAACUAAGUGACUGAGCUGGAAUACCAACAGCAGCCUAAUAACUUUAAUUCAGUGAUUUUUCCACCAAAGACUCAACAGCAACUGAUAAGAAUUUGAAAUACCAGAGUAGCUUAACAAAGACUCUGAGAAGUCCUGCAAUAAGGAAGUAUCAUUAACUUUGUUGAACAUUUUUUACCAUUGACUCCAUGAUAUAGUUUGAAUAUUUGUCCCCACUCAAAUCCCAUGUUGAAUUGUAAUCCCCCAUUUUGGGAGUGGGGCCUGGUGGGAGGUGUUUGGGUCAUGGGGGCAGACACCUCAUGGCUUGGCACUGUACUUGCAACAGUGAGUGAGUUCUCAUGAGAUCUGGUUAACUGUUUGGCACCUCCUCCCUCCUCACUCCUACAAGAGAUGUGAAGGAGUGCCAUGUGAUGUGCAAGCUCCUACUUCGCCUUCUACCAUGAGUAAAAGCUCCCCGAGGCCUCCACAGAAAAUGAGCAGAUGCCCUUGUUAUGCUAGUACAGCCCACAGAACUGUGAGCCAAUUAAACUUCUCUUCUUUUUAAAUUACCCGGUCUCUGCUGUUUCCCUAUAAUAAUGCAAGAAUGGCCUAAUACACUCCCUUAUCUGCAUACCGUGUAUCUCCAUUUUAUAGAAGGAUGCUUUGUGACGUAUGCUAUAAGAAAUACUGCUCUAAAGAGUUUUUGUAGAUGAGAUGGCUAAAGUAUCACAGAAAUGGUAUUGUGAACAACCAUUCUGAAAUGGAUGGGCCUUGGAAAUAAUGAUCUAAAAAUUCAGAAACUAAAAUAUUUGUCCCAUGAAAUACUCUCUAAAUGAGUUCCAUGUCCAUGUAAAUUUAGGCAACAUUGCACAUUAUAUCCAUUUUCUUAGAGAGUAAACAUGCUGGAAAAAAAAACAGCGUUACUUUAUCUAAUUAAAUUUUAGAAGGUUUAUUUGAAUAUCAAAAUUCAUUUCCCCCCAGGAGUAAUGAUAAAUACUAGGGGAGCUAGUGUGAAAAGUGCUUUGGAAAAAUAUGAUGUGGUAGCAAGAAGAGAUUUAAGAUUCCAACCAAUUCAGAUUUAAUUUUUGGCUCUGCUACUUGCCAGAUGAGAUUUAUUUAUGUGGGAGUUUCUGAAGAUUCCCAUGGUAAAUAGUAUUCCUCUUCCCUGCUUAGGUUUUGAAGAAGUUGAAUAAAUAAUUAAAUGUAAAUGUUGAUAGCAUAAGAUGACCUUUAUCGCUAACAGAGGUCAGGUUUUAGGACAUAGCUAAAAGUCUGCUAAUGCUGGUGGACUUGCUCACACAGAAAGAACAC
rnacentral:lncRNA from 10 species